UACGAAGGGGGCUAGCGUUGCUCGGAAUCACUGGGCGUAAAGGGUGCGUAGGCGGGUCUUUAAGUCAGGGGGGAAAUCCUGGAGCUCAACUCCAGAACUGCCUUUGAUACUGAAGAUCUUGAGUUCGGGAGAGGUGAGUGGAACUGCGAGUGUAGAGGUGAAAUUCGUAGAUAUUCGCAAGAACACCAGUGGCGAAGGCGGCUCACUGGCCCGAUACUGACGCUGAGGCACGAAAGCUAGGGUAGCGAACGGG
rnacentral:rRNA from 1 species